UACCAGCACCCCGAGUGGUCGGGACGUUUUAUUGGGCCUAAAGCAUCCGUAGCCGGUUCUACAAGUCUUCCGUUAAAUCCACCUGCUUAACAGAUGGGCUGCGGAAGAUACUAUGGAGCUAGGAGGCGGGAGAGGCAAGCGGUACUCGAUGGGUAGGGGUAAAAUCCGUUGAUCCAUUGAAGACCACCAGUGGCGAAGGCGGCUUGCCAGAACGCGCUCGACGGUGAGGGAUGAAAGCUGGGGGAGCAAACCGGG
rnacentral:rRNA from 1 species